GAGAUUCAGAUGUGUUAUUAAUCCCUGAUGGUCAAUUCAGUCACACAGCCUUUAGAGUCUUAUUAAAAGAAGUCAAGACAAAGUAAAGAGUUACAUUUACAUGCCAGUAACAACAGGUCACCAAAGGAGAUAACAAUCUAUUUAAAGAAACACAAUGUCAGAAAUGUCUAAGGUGAUCCUUAAAACCAGGAGGUGACUAUCCUUCCAUGUAGUUUUAAAUUGUGACUUUAGGGCAGCAUCCAUUCAGGGUUGAUUAGACCAAUUUCAUAUUUUACUACAGAUCAGGUCUGUGAGAUUGAGUGGUUAUAGUUCACUCUCAGGUAUGCUGCAAGAGUUCAGCCAAGUAUGAAUUUCUAAUCUGGCUUUUUUUUUUCUUUACAGCAUUGAAAGGCAGCCAAUAUAAACUUAUACUGAUUGUUGUAACCAUCGUCUUAUCUCUUGGUGUUUUGGCUGUAAUUGUAAUUGGAGGAUUAUAUUGUCAUCGAAGGAGAAAACCAAUGAAUACAGACCUCCCUCUGCAGCAGAGACCAACAAAUGAUGCCCCAGCUGGUCCUCCACCCUCCAUCUACUCCUUGUUGGGGCCUCCCAUCGUCUCUGAAGCACCCACUCAGCCCAGAGACAACGCUCAGCCAGAGAGCUGACACAUACAAUAGAACUGUUUUGAUGUAGAUAUUUUAUUUUUUUAAAUUAAUUUACUGUAUAUAUUUCAAAUGCUACGUUCUAUUUUUUUACAUAGUUUUAUUGCUAAUUUGUGUUUUUGCUAAUAUUUGAUCAUCUUGAUGCUUCUUAUCAAAUGUUUCUUUAAACCUUAAUGUGAAUAAAGCCUUUUUAAUUUAAAGCUA